rnacentral:rRNA from 1 species
AGAGUUUGAUCAUGGCUCAGAUUGAACGCUGGCGGCAGGCCUAACACAUGCAAGUCGAGCGGUAGCACAGAGAGCUUGCUCUCGGGUGACGAGCGGCGGACGGGUGAGUAAUGUCUGGGAAACUGCCUGAUGGAGGGGGAUAACUACUGGAAACGGUAGCUAAUACCGCAUAAUGUCGCAAGACCAAAGUGGGGGACCUUCGGGCCUCAUGCCAUCAGAUGUGCCCAGAUGGGAUUAGCUAGUAGGUGGGGUAACGGCUCACCUAGGCGACGAUCCCUAGCUGGUCUGAGAGGAUGACCAGCCACACUGGAACUGAGACACGGUCCAGACUCCUACGGGAGGCAGCAGUGGGGAAUAUUGCACAAUGGGCGCAAGCCUGAUGCAGCCAUGCCGCGUGUGUGAAGAAGGCCUUCGGGUUGUAAAGCACUUUCAGCGGGGAGGAAGGCGUUAAGGUUAAUAACCUUGGCGAUUGACGUUACCCGCAGAAGAAGCACCGGCUAACUCCGUGCCAGCAGCCGCGGUAAUACGGAGGGUGCAAGCGUUAAUCGGAAUUACUGGGCGUAAAGCGCACGCAGGCGGUCUGUCAAGUCGGAUGUGAAAUCCCCGGGCUCAACCUGGGAACUGCAUUCGAAACUGGCAGGCUAGAGUCUUGUAGAGGGGGGUAGAAUUCCAGGUGUAGCGGUGAAAUGCGUAGAGAUCUGGAGGAAUACCGGUGGCGAAGGCGGCCCCCUGGACAAAGACUGACGCUCAGGUGCGAAAGCGUGGGGAGCAAACAGGAUUAGAUACCCUGGUAGUCCACGCCGUAAACGAUGUCGAUUUGGAGGUUGUGCCCUUGAGGCGUGGCUUCCGGAGCUAACGCGUUAAAUCGACCGCCUGGGGAGUACGGCCGCAAGGUUAAAACUCAAAUGAAUUGACGGGGGCCCGCACAAGCGGUGGAGCAUGUGGUUUAAUUCGAUGCAACGCGAAGAACCUUACCUGGUCUUGACAUCCACAGAACUUUGCAGAGAUGGUUUGGUGCCUUCGGGAACUGUGAGACAGGUGCUGCAUGGCUGUCGUCAGCUCGUGUUGUGAAAUGUUGGGUUAAGUCCCGCAACGAGCGCAACCCUUAUCCUUUGUUGCCAGCGGUUCGGCCGGGAACUCAAAGGAGACUGCCAGUGAUAAACUGGAGGAAGGUGGGGAUGACGUCAAGUCAUCAUGGCCCUUACGACCAGGGCUACACACGUGCUACAAUGGCAUAUACAAAGAGAAGCGACCUCGCGAGAGCAAGCGGACCUCAUAAAGUAUGUCGUAGUCCGGAUUGGAGUCUGCAACUCGACUCCAUGAAGUCGGAAUCGCUAGUAAUCGUAGAUCAGAAUGCUACGGUGAAUACGUUCCCGGGCCUUGUACACACCGCCCGUCACACCAUGGGAGUGGGUUGCAAAAGAAGUAGGUAGCUUAACCUUCGGGAGGGCGCUUACCACUUUGUGAUUCAUGACUGGGGUGAAGUCGUAACAAGGUAACCGUAGGGGAACCUGCGGUUGGAUCACCU